CGGGAAGAUAUCUAGGGCGCACGGCGGAUGCCUUGGCACAUGGAGCCGAAGAAGGACGCGGCAAGCUGCGAUAAUCCGCGGUUAGGGGCACACACCCUUCGACCCGCGGGUCUCCGAAUGGGCGAACCCGCCAGGAGAAGUCCUGGCACCCUCCGGAUGAACUCAUAGUCCGGAGGGGGACAACCCGGGGAACUGAAACAUCUAAGUACCCGGAGGAGAAGAAAUCAACAUCGAGAUUCCCCGAGUAGCGGCGAGCGAAAGGGGACCUAGGCCAAACCGUGGAGCGGGCCGGCGCCAGCCUUUGCCGCCCACGGGGUUGAAGGGCCGACCGUCCGGGGGCUGGCGCCCCCGGCGGGCAUCCAUCCAGGGGAGCCGAACGGCAUGGGAAGGCCGGCGGCACAGGGUUAGGGCCCCGUAGGCGCACCCUGGGAUGGAGCCCGGAGUCGGUCCCUGAGUAGGGCCGGGCACGUGAAACCCGGUCCGAACCCGGGGGGACCACCCUCCAAGCCUGAAUACUCCCAUGUGACCGAUAGCGCACCAGUACCGUGAGGGAAAGGUGAAAAGCACCCCGGGAGGGGAGUGAAACAGUACCUGAAACCGUGCGCCCGCAAGGCGUCGGAGCACCCAUGCGGUGUGACGGCGUGCCUUUUGUAGAAUGAGCCAGCGAGUUGCUGGCACGCGGCGAGGUUAAGCUGGGAAGCGAGCCGGAGCGAAAGCGAGUCCGAAACGGGCGUUCCCAGUCGCGUGCCGCAGACGCGAAGCCGGGUGAGCUAUCCCUGGGCAGGCUGAAGCGGGGGUAAGACCCCGUGGAGGGCCGAACGGACGUACGUUGAAAAGUGCGCCGAUGACCUGGGGAUAGGGGUGAAAGGCCUAUCAAACCCGGAGAUAUCUCGUUCUCCCCGAAAUAGCUUUAGGGCUAGCGUCGCGCGUUAACCGCCGGAGGUAGAGCACCGGAUCGAUGAGGGGGCUUCGCCGCCUACCGAUUCGAACCGAACUCCGAAUGCCGGUCGGUCCAGAGCGCGGCAGUCAGAGCAUGUGGGCUAAGCUGUGUGCUCGAGAGGGAAACAGCCCAGACCGCCCGCUAAGGCCCCCAAUUCUCAGUUAAGUGGCAAAGGAUGUGCGUCCGCGCAGACAACCAGGAGGUUGGCUUAGAAGCAGCCACCCCUUCAAAGAGUGCGUAACAGCUCACUGGUCGAGUGGACAUGCGCCGACAAUACACGGGGCUAAACUGAGAGCCGAAGCGGCGGCAAUGAUCCAUCAUUGGGUAGGGGAGCGUCCCCAGCGGGGCGAAGCCGGAGGGUCACCGACGGUGGACUGCUGGGGAGUGAGAAUGCUGGCAUGAGUAGCGAGAGACGAGAGAGUAACUCGUCCGCCGUAAACCCGAGGUUUCCUGGGCGAGGCUAAUCCUCCCAGGGUCAGUCGGGGGCUAAGCCGAGGGCGGAUGCCGUAGGCGAAGCGCAGCAGGUGGACAUUCCUGCACCGGAGAUGCACCGUCACGACCGACGGGGCGACGGAUUGGGGUGGCUCGGCGGGGUUCUGGACGUCCCCGUGAUGGAGCGCGGCCCGGGUACCAGGCAAAUCCGGUACCCACUGAGGGCGAGGCUCCGGACGAAGCGAGAGAGCGAAGCGAGUGAGCCCGUGGUCCCCAGAAAAACCCCUAGGCAGGGGCAUCUCCGCCCGUACCGCAAACCGACACAGGUGGGUGGGUAGAACAUACCGAGGCGAUCGGGUCAACCAUGGUCAAGGAACUCGGCAAAAUGGCCCCGUAACUUCGGGAGAAGGGGCGCCGGCGCGUACGUGGAGGGACUCGCUCCCCGAGCGGAGGCCGGCCGCAGUGAAGAGGCCCAAUCGACUGUUUACCAAAAACACAGGACUCUGCAGAAGGCGAGAGCCGACGUAUAGGGUCUGACGCCUGCCCGGUGCCGGAAGGUCACGCGGAGGGGUUAGCCAAAAGCGAAGCCCCGAAGCCAAGCCCCGGUAAACGGCGGCCGUAACUAUAACGGUCCUAAGGUAGCGAAAUUCCUUGUCGGGUAAGUUCCGACCUGCACGAAAGGCGCAACGAAUUGGGCGCUGUCUCGACCAUGGACCCGGUGAAAUUCCACUAGUCGUGAAGAUGCGACUUACCCGCGGAAGGACGGAAAGACCCCGUGAACCUUCACUGCAGCUUGGCAUUGGCCGCUGGCCCGUCGCGUAGAGGAUAGGCGGGAGGCUUCGAAGCCCGGGCGCCAGCCCGGGUGGAGCCGACCUUGGAAUACCGCCCUCGGCGCGCCGGCGUCCUAACCCCGGGCCGUGAUCCGGCCGGGGGACCGUGCCAGGUGGGUAGUUUGACUGGGGCGGUCGCCUCCUAAAGGGUAACGGAGGCGCGCGAAGGUCCGCUCGGGACGGUCGGCAACCGUCCUCAAAGAGUGCAAGAGCGUAAGCGGGCUUGACUGCGAGGCAGACACGCCGAGCAGGUGCGAAAGCAGGCUCUAGUGAUCCGGCGGCCCCGCGUGGGUGGGCCGUCGCUCAACGGAUAAAAGGUACUCCGGGGAUAACAGGCUGAUCUUGCCCAAGAGUCCACAUCGACGGCAAGGUUUGGCACCUCGAUGUCGGCUCAUCGCAUCCUGGGGCUGGAGCAGGUCCCAAGGGUACGGCUGUUCGCCGUUUAAAGCGGUACGCGAGCUGGGUUCAGAACGUCGUGAGACAGUUCGGUCCCUAUCCUCCGCGGGCGCAGGAGAAUCGAGGGAGGCUGCCCCUAGUACGAGAGGACCGGGGUGGACGCACCUCCCGUGAACCAGUUGUCGACCAACGGCACGGCUGGGUAGCGGCGUGCGGCGCGGAUAACCGCUGAAGGCAUCUAAGCGGGAAGCCGUUCCCGAGAUCAGUUCUCCUUUUCGGUAAGGGCCCAGGUAGACUACCUGGUCGAUAGGCCGCAGGUGCAAGGGGCGCGAGCCCCUCAGCCGAGCGGUACUAAUAGCCCGAGCUCUUACCCGCA
rnacentral:rRNA from 1 species